rnacentral:rRNA from 1 species
UUCUGGUUGAUCCUGCCGGACCUGACUGCUAUCGGAUUGAUACUAAGCCAUGCGAGUCAUUGUAGCAAUACAAGGCAGACGGCUCAGUAACGCGUAGUCAACCUAACCUAUGGACGGGAAUAACCUCGGGAAACUGAGAAUAAUGCCCGAUAGAACACUAUACCUGGAAUGGUUUGUGUUCCAAAUGAUUUAUCGCCGUAGGAUGGGACUGCGGCCUAUCAGUUUGUUGGUGAGGUAAUGGCCCACCAAGACUAUUACAGGUACGGGCUCUGAGAGGAGUAGCCCGGAGAUGGGUACUGAGACACGGACCCAGGCCCUAUGGGGCGCAGCAGGCGAGAAAACUUUGCAAUG